AGAAAAGGGAAGCAUCUAAAAAAGAUUGGAAGAAUUUCUCACCACUCUGCAGGCAGCUGUCUCCUCCCAGCACCCAGGACCUGAACUCAGAAACUACCAGCAACACAGACGAACUCCGGGUGAGGACGACAAGAGCUGAGCUCGGGUGCUUGCCUUCUGCACUCUCGGGAGGAGGCACCAGCAUGGGCACCCUUCACAGUUCGGGCCCCUCACUCACAAACGUCUGGCACAUGGAAACAAGCUGGCAAAAAGAUUGUUUUUUUCUUCUGUACUUUUUGUUAUAAGCCUGUGGUGAAGUGUCCAUAUCUGGCAUAAAUGAAUGUGAGUG
rnacentral:lncRNA from 1 species